GGGACGUGUAAAACCAUGAAGGACACUGACGCUGCCUCGCUGCCAUCGGAACCAUCGCCGGUGGGAGGAGAUGUGGUGGAAGCGGCUUGAAGGUGGAGAACAUGGAAGUAGGUACGUAAGAAGCAGCCAGGUUACGCGUUGCUUGGAUCUGUGCGCGCUUAAGAAGCUGCCUUUCCUUCUUGUGAGCGUUUUGGUGGCCACCUAGGGCUUGCGAGUUGGCAAACUCCCGGCAACAAUAUUGGCACUCAUAUUUUCGACCUUCAGUCAAUGAUUCCGGAGACCCAGAUGGAGAUUUUCUUGAAUCAACGGGAAUAUUAUUCUCUAAAAUAUUGAAGCC
rnacentral:misc_RNA from 1 species